rnacentral:tRNA from 1 species
GCCUGGGUGGCUCAGUCAGUUAAGCUCCUGACUCUUGGUUUCAACUCAGGUCAUGAUCUCAUGGCUCAUGGGUUCAAGUCCCAUAUCGGGUU